rnacentral:rRNA from 1 species
UCGUUCACGAGGUGAAGCCAGCGGGUAACUUCUGGUGGAUUGUGGACGAGUGAGAAUGCAGGCAUGAGUAGCGAAAGACGGGUGAGAAACCCGUCCGCCGGAUGACUAAGGGUUCCAGGGUCAAGCUAAUCUGCCCUGGGUAAGUCGGGACCUAAGGCGAGGCCGACAGGCGUAGUCGAUGGACAACGGGUUGAUAUUCCCGUACCGGCGAAGAACCGUCCAUACUGAACUGGGGAUACUAACCACCGGUUCCACCCGUUUCUCAUGCGCCACUUUGUGGUGUGUGGUUGUGGUGGGAUGCGUGGGACCUGAUCCAGGGAGGUAAGCGUGUUAACAGGUGUGACGCAGGAAGGUAGCCGAGCCAGGCGAUGGUAGUCCUGGUCUAAGCGUGUAGGGCGAGUCAUUGGUAAAUCCGUGGCUCAUAUAGCUUGAGACGUGAUGGGACCCCUUUGGUGGGGGAUUCGGUGAUCCUAUGCUGCCGAGAAAAGCAUCGACGUGAGGUUCUAGCCGCCCGUACCCCAAACCGACACAGGUGAUCAGGUAGAGAAUACUAAGGCGUUCGAGAGAAUCAUGGUUAAGGAACUCGGCAAAAUGCCCCCGUAACUUCGGGAGAAGGGGGGCCCGGACCCUGACAUGCCCUUGCGGUGUGGAGGGGGUAAGGGUCGCAGAGACCAGGGGGAAGCGACUGUUUAUCAAAAACACAGGUCCGUGCGAAGUCGUAAGACGAUGUAUACGGACUGACUCCUGCCCGGUGCUGGAAGGUUAAGGGGAACUGUGAGUGUAUGCGUAGCGGUGAACUUAAGCCCCAGUAAACGGCGGUGGUAACUAUAACCAUCCUAAGGUAGCGAAAUUCCUUGUCGGGUAAGUUCCGACCUGCACGAAUGGAGUAACGAUUUCCCUACUGUCUCCACCAUGAACUCGGUGAAAUUGCAUUACGAGUAAAGAUGCUCGUUACGCGCAGCAGGACGGAAAGACCCCGGGACCUUUACUAUAGUUUGGUAUUGGUGAUUGGGACGGUUUGUGUAGGAUAGGUGGGAGACGUUGAUGCGGCCACGCUAGUGGUGGUGGAGUCGUUGGUGAAAUACCACUCUGAUUGUUCUGGUUAUCUCACUGUGGACCGUGAUCCGGUUCAAGGACAGUGCCUGAUGGGUAGUUUGACUGGGGCGGUCGCCUCCUAAAGGGUAACGGAGGCGCCCAAAGGUUCCCUCAGCCUGGUUGGUAAUCAGGUGGUGAGUGUAAGUGCACAAGGGGGCUUGACUGUGAGACUGACAGGUCGAGCAGGGACGAAAGUCGGGACUAGUGAUCUGACGGUGGCUUGUGGAUGCGCCGUCACUCAACGGAUAAAAGGUAC